rnacentral:lncRNA from 1 species
GUCUUCCCAAACCCAAGCAAAUGCUAAUGUGAAAUUUUCACCUACUUCAGUUUUGACCUAUACCUUCUAAGAAGGGAGGCCUGUAAGCAGAAAGCUCAGCAAAAUCCAGCUAGGACCUGCCCAUCCAGUUCCACACCACCUAACAUGGAGGAAUUUGCCUUGUAAAAUUUAGGAUUGAGAGGAGCAGAAGUGAAGGUAGCUGCUGCCUCAGUUAUUGCUUAUGUUGGAGGAGAGUGGGCAAGGGUAAUAGGGUCUGGAGGGCUGUCAUCAGUAGCUGCAGCCUAAGACAGCAUGAUGGUAGUGUCUAGGGUGCAUCAGUUGUCUUUCUCCCCUGUAAUAACCAUCCUUUUUCACUUCAAGGAACUAUUCUCUGGGCCAUUUUUUUUUUUUCUGUGCAUCCAGGCUCUCUAAAAGGAUGGUUUCCCUGUGCAGAAUACCUCAGCUGGCUACACUCAAGCUAAUCUGAGGACUCAGAAAUGCCUUGAGCUCCAGGUUUCUCUAAUCAUGUUCCUUUUACGACCCCAGUGAGCUGGUACACCCUAUCUCUGUGCUGAAAGUCACAUAAGUAUUGGUAGCUUCUACUGCAUCCUCUUUUUCCUUUAAACAUUCUUUUAAAUGGAACAUGACAACAAUAAUCAAUGAUAUAAAAUAGUGGAGCAGAAUAGGCUGCCAUAAAAAAAAAUACCAUGGAGUGUGACUGCAACCUUCUCUAUAAAAAAAAAUGCCCAGAGCUCCCCACCAGCUCAAGUCCAGCCCUGUGUUAACACCUCACACAAGCAGUGGCCAGAUGACUUGGAAACUAAAAGGGACAGAUCCAUCCGUCACUCUUGGUGGCCAGCUUUUAUCCAGACCUUUGCUUUUGUUACACUGCUCUGUUAUGAACAUUACAGGUAUCUUCCAGAUGUCCGUGCAGGUUUCAUAACAAUAAAAAGAACAAAAAGAAGGAGGGAGAUCACCACUGGCCUGAAGCAUAUGCAACCACAACAGCCUGAUGCUCCCACACAGGGGGCCCACUUCAAGCCAUGGCCCUGCAACACGAAAGGGAAGAGGGACAGAAAAACCUGAAGAGCUACUGACCCUUGGCUCAAGAGCAAGCACCUGGCCCCGUGAACCUGCCAGGGCCACCAGACCCACCGCAGAGCUCCUCUGUCGGGCCACCGCUGUCUCCAGCUGCCUGCUCCUUUCCCCAUCUCUGAGUCAGAUGUGAGGAGCCAGCCAAGUCACCCUCAGAUGCAAGGACGAGAUAAAGAUUUAACCAUUACCCCAUUGUUUGGUCCAAGCAUGUUUCAUCUAUGCUAUCGUAAGCCUUUGCAAGCACAGGAGCAAGAUCUCAGCAUGGAGAAGGCUGCAGAGCUUUCCUAAGGGUAAACACGGGAAUUCACAGCCUGCUGGAAAGUCAUUUGGGCUUGUGCAAGUUUGGGAACUGAACUGUUUGGUGCAGGGGCAGACAGCCCAAGACAGGCCAGCAAAAAGCAGCUGGGGCAUCAGCACUCACCUCGCCUCCAGGCAGCUCCCAGCAGCUGAGAUGGUUUGCACCAGCCAGUGGGGAAGCUCUGCAGCACCAAAAAAAUCCAUUUUUUGUCCCCAAAAUGGGUGAUCCAGCAGGGAUCUGAGGACAAAGGGACAGAGUUACCCAAUGGUGAGCCCGACCAUGAAGUUGAGAGGGAAAUGGGGCAAAAAAGGAAACCCAGAGUGACCCAUGCAUGAAAUGAGUUCUCCGUGGAGAGGUCUGCAUGGAUGGGGCAGAUAAGGGAAAUUUGGGCAGUUUUUGUGUCCCAUGUUUCUAAAAGGAUGAUGCAUAAAUAAAAGAUUGUGAGGAAAGCA